rnacentral:rRNA from 1 species
UACGUAGGGACCGAGCGUUGUCCGGAUUCAUUGGGCGUAAAGAGCUCGUAGGCGGCCACUCAAGUCGAAUGUGAACCUACGAGGCUAAGCCUUCGAACUCCGUAGCCACUUCGAUACUGGGCGGCUAGAGUCUGGUAGGGGGAUCGUGGAAUUCCUGGUGUAGCGGUGGAAUGCGCAGAUAUCAGGAGGAACACCGGUGGCGAAGGCGGGAUCCUGGGCCAGUACUGACGCUGAGAGCGAAAGCGUGGGAGCAACAGG